UGCCAGACUCCUACGGGAGGCAGCAGUGGGGAAUAUUGCACAAUGGGGGAAACCCUGAUGCGGCGACGCCGCGUGAGUGAAGAAGUAUUUCGGUAUGUAAAGCUCUAUCAGCAGGGAAGAAAAUGACGGUACCUGACUAAGAAGCCCCGGCUAACUACGUGCCAGCAGCCGCGGUAAUACGUAGGGGGCAAGCGUUAUCCGGAUUUACUGGGUGUAAAGGGAGCGUAGACGGCGGAACAAGUCAGAAGUGAAAACCCGGGGCUCAACCCUGGGAGUGCUUUUGAAACUGUUUGGCUGGAGUGCAGGAGAGGUAAGCGGAAUUCCUAGUGUAGCGGUGAAAUGCGUAGAUAUUAGGAGGAACACCAGUGGCGAAGGCGGCUUACUGGACUGUAACUGACGUUGAGGCUCGAAAGCGUGGGGAGCAAACAGGAUUAGAUACCCCAGUA
rnacentral:rRNA from 1 species